rnacentral:rRNA from 1 species
GACGAACGCUGGCGGCGUGCCUAAUACAUGCAAGUAGACCUGAGUUGCGAACGGGUGAGUAACGCUUAGGAACCUGCCUCAUAGCGGGGGAUAACUAUUGGAAACGAUAGCUAAUACCGCAUACUGUGAGAUGGACCUGCGUUGUAUUAGCUAGUUGGUGGGGUAAAGGCCUACCAAGGCGACGAUCCGUAACUGGUCUGAGAGGAGUAUUAGUCACACUGGAACUGAGACACGUUCCAGACUCCUACGGGAGGCAGCAGUGGGGAAUAUUGGAGAAUUGGCGAAAGCCUGAUCCAGCCAUGCCGCGUGUGUUAAGAAGGUCUUCGGAUUGGAAAGCACUUUAAGUUGGGAGGCGUUCCCAACAGAAUAAGCACCGGCUAACUUCGUGCCAGCAGCCGCGGUAAUAC